rnacentral:rRNA from 1 species
UACAGAGGUGGCAAGCGUUGUUCGGAAUUACUGGGCGUAAAGGGCGCGUAGGCGGCCUACUAAGUCAGACGUGAAAUCCCCCGGCUUAACCUGGGAACUGCGUCUGAUACUGGAAGGCUUGAGGAUGGGAGAGGGAUGUAGAAUUCCAGGUGUAGCGGUGAAAUGCGCAGAUAUCAGGAGGAACACCGGUGGCGAAGGCGGGUCUCUGGGCAGUAACUGACGCUGAGGAGCGAAAGCGUGGGGAGCGAACAGG